rnacentral:rRNA from 1 species
UACGAAGGGGGCUAGCGUUGCUCGGAAUCACUGGGCGUAAAGCGCACGUAGGCGGACUCUUAAGUCGGUGGUGAAAUCCUGGAGCUCAACUCCUGAACUGCCUUCGAUACUGAGAGUCUCGAGUCCGGGAGAGGUGAGUGGAACUGCGAGUGUAGAGGUGAAAUUCGUAGAUAUUCGCAAGAACACCAGUGGCGAAGGCGGCUCACUGGCCCGGUACUGACGCUGAGGUGCGAAAGCGUGGGGAGCAAACGGG